UACGAAGGGGGCAAGCGUUGUUCGGAAUUACUGGGCGUAAAGGGCGCGUAGGCGGCCGAUCAAGUCAGGCGUGAAAUUCCCGGGCUCAACCUGGGGGCUGCGCUUGAUACUGAUUGGCUUGAAUGCGGGAGAGGAUAGUGGAAUUCCCAGUGUAGAGGUGAAAUUCGUAGAUAUUGGGAGGAACACCAGUGGCGAAGGCGGCGACCUGGGCCAAUACUGACGCUGAGGUGCGAAAGCGUGGGGAGCAAACAGG
rnacentral:rRNA from 1 species